rnacentral:misc_RNA from 1 species
GAUGAAGAACGUAGCAAAAUGCGAUAAGUAAUGUGAAUUGCAGAAUUCAGUGAAUCAUCGAAUCUUUGAACGCACAUUGCGCCCGCCAGUAUUCUGGCGGGCAUGCCUGUUCGAGCGUCAUUUCAACCCUCAAGCACAGCUUGGUGUUGGGACUCGCGUUAAUUCGCGUUCCUCAAAUUGAUUGGCGGUCACGUCGAGCUUCCAUAGCGUAGUAGUAAAACCCUCGUUACUGGUAAUCGUCGCGGCCACGCCGUUAAACUCCAACUUCUGAAUGUUGACCUCGGAUCAGGUAGGAAUACCCGCUGAACUUAAGCAUAUCAAUAAGCGGAGGA